UACGAGGGGGGCAAGCGUUGUUCGGAAUUAUUGGGCGUAAAGGGUGCGUAGGCGGUUUGGUAAGUCUUAUGUGAAAUCUACAGGCUCAACUUGUAGUCUGCAUGAGAAACUGCCGGGCUUGAGUAUGGGAGAGGUGAGUGGAAUUCCUGGUGUAGCGGUGAAAUGCGUAGAUAUCAGGAGGAACACCUGUGGCGAAAGCGGCGCACUGGACCACAACUGACGCUGAGGCGCGAAAGCUAGGGGAGCAAACAGG
rnacentral:rRNA from 1 species